ensembl:miRNA
UAUUAAGUUGGUGCAAAAGUAAUCGCGGUUUUUGCCAUUAAAAAGUAAUGCCAUUAAAAGUAAUGGCAAAAACCGCGAUUACUUUUGCAUCGACCUUAAGUACUU